rnacentral:rRNA from 1 species
GACGAAGGGGGCAAGCGUUGUUCGGAAUUACUGGGCGUAAAGGGCGCGUAGGCGGCUCUGUAAGUCAGGCGUGAAAGCCCUGGGCUCAACCUGGGAAUGGCGCUUGAUACUGGAGGGCUAGAGAGCGGGAGAGGAUGGUGGAAUUCCCAGUGUAGAGGUGAAAUUCGUAGAUAUUGGGAAGAACACCGGUGGCGAAGGCGGCCAUCUGGACCGUAUCUGACUCUGAGGCGCGAAAGCGUGGGGAGCAAACAGG